AACGCACAUUGCGCUCCUUGGUAUUCCGGGGAGCAUGCCUGUUUGAGAAUCAAUAAAUCUCUCACGACCCAGUCCUUUUGGUAACUCUCAAGGACUUUGGUUGUGGAUCUGGGUCUUUUGCGUUCUCACGAACACAAUGGCCUUAAUAUCAAUGUCUGCAGCUUUCUUCUGAUGGAGAUUGGCUUUGAGUGCAUGAACUGUUUUAACUAACUCAGAUUUCACUCUCGCAAGUCUUUCUCAAUGUCCGAGGUAUUGCCGUCUGACUCAACCAUUACAUCCUUGCCCAGCUGGACCGAAUCAAAGAAAAGAUUUUUUUUUUUUUUUUUUUUUGUGUUUGUGCGAGGCAUCGAAUACUUGGUCUCAAAUCAGGUAGGAAAACCCGCUGAACUUAA
rnacentral:misc_RNA from 1 species